rnacentral:rRNA from 1 species
CCUACGGGACGCAGCAGUGGGGAAUAUUGCUCAAUGGGGGAAACCCUGAUGCAGCAACGCCGCGUGGAGGAUGAAGGUUUUAGGAUUGUAAACUCCUUUUGUUAGAGAAGAUUAUGACGGUAUCUAACGAAUAAGCACCGGCUAACUCCGUGCCAGCAGCCGCGGUAAUACGGAGGGUGCAAGCGUUACUCGGAAUCACUGGGCGUAAAGAGAGCGUAGGCGGGGUGAUAAGUUAGAUGUGAAAUGCUGAAGCUUAACUUCCGAACUGCAUUUGAAACUGUUACUCUGGAGUGUGGUAGAGGUAG